rnacentral:misc_RNA from 1 species
GAAAGCGCGGGUGCCGACCCCACGCUACCGUUUGCCGCCACCGCCGAGCUUUCCCGCGAAAAACUUAUCAUAGACAAACAUUAAAAAUCAAGGUGGUAUAAAAACUCAUUCGAAAAAUGCGCACUGGUUGAACACAUUUUUUUUUAUGUUUAUAAGAAAGUUCGACAGUAUGGGGUGAAUUUAUUUGUGACAAAAAUGAAAUAAGUAUGCGAAAUGUUAAGAAUUAUGUGAAAAGAUGAUUUAUGUUUUAAAAGUUUUUGUGUCACGGACUAGUGCAUUUUGUGGAAGAAGGGAAAUUAAUACAUAAAAGAACGUGGCUAAGCAUAUCUGCGGGCUACAAAAAUAUGCCAACAAAACAUGUGCCAGAAAUCGGAAUACUGGAAUACAAUGCCUGCCAAGAACGUAAUCUCGAAAUGGCUGCGGGCGAAACAAGGGAAGCAUAAACACUCACCAUGGCGCUAGUGAGCAACUGACUAUCGGAAAAAUAUGAACGCGACGGACCCGGAUGUACUAGUGGCAAGAGGCCAACUGGACGCCCUGUACCGCGGGGAGUACGCACUGGACGCGGCCCGCCCGCUCGACUUCAACGCCUCCUUCGACAACGCCUCCGUCUACAACGUGUCCGACCCCGAGGAGCCCUGGAACGACUACAUCAAACUGCUCCAGGACAGAGCACUCCUCGUCUCCUUUCUUCUACUGUUCUCUCUAACUACGGUUUUCGGCAACAUGCUGGUCAUCCUCGCCGUGGUCCGUGAGCGCUACCUGCACACGUCUACCAACUACUUCGUGACGUCACUCGCGGUCGCCGACUGCCUGGUCGGUCUCGUGGUGAUGCCGUUCUCAGCGCUAUAUGAAGUGUUAGAGCACACGUGGUUCUUCGGAGUGGACUGGUGCGAUGUGUGGCGGUCUCUAGACGUGUUGUUCAGUACGGCCUCCAUACUAAAUCUGUGCGUGAUCUCGUUAGACCGGUACUGGGCCAUUACGGACCCAAUUACAUAUCCGAUGCGUAUGAGUGGCCGGAAGGCCGCUUUUCUAAUCGCGGCGGUGUGGGUGUGCUCGGGCGCGAUAUCGUUCCCCGCGAUCGCGUGGUGGCGCGCCGUGCGUGUUGAAGAAGUGCCAGAUUACAAGUGUCCGUUCACGGAAAACUUAGAGUACAUAAUAUUUUCAUCGACAAUAUCAUUUUAUUUGCCUCUGUUUGUGAUGGUGUUCACUUAUUAUCGUAUAUAUCGUGCAGCGACUAUUCAGACGCGGUCACUUAAAAUCGGCACUAAGCAAGUGAUGAGACCUAGUGGUGAGUUAGAGUUGACGUUGCGGAUACAUAGGGGUGGGACAGUGCGGCAGCGUAGUGACGCGUGUCACGGCGCCUGCACGCCGGAGGAGGCGGACCAGGAGCCGCUGACGGCGCUGCAGAACAAUGGUCUGUCGCGGUCGUCGACACGUCUGACCAACGUGACGCACGGCAAGCAUUUGCCGAAAAACUUUUCGCUGUCUCGUAAGUUGGCGAAGUUCGCCAAAGAGAAGAAGGCGGCGAAGACGUUAGGUAUAGUGAUGGGUGUGUUCAUAGUGUGUUGGUUGCCGUUCUUCGUGGUGAACCUGCUGUCUGGCAUCUGCUCGGCGUGUAUCGCGCACGAGGAGAUCGUCAACGUGGUGGUCACGUGGCUUGGCUGGGUCAACUCUUCCAUGAACCCUGUCAUCUACGCGUGUUGGAGUAGAGACUUUAGAAGGGCUUUUCUUAGAAUUCUGUGCGUGUGCUGCCCCAGAAAGUUGCGUCGAAAAUACCAGCCGCAACUACGGUUCAAACAGUCCCAAUUGCGCACGACUCGACGUUAUUACUCAUCGAGCGAACUGAUGGGCAUACAACAGCUCAGACAAAACUCCUGCGAACAGACAUACAUAUAGCGAAUCAGCUCCAUUCUAUACAUCGCUUCGAUUCUCCUCCAUAUUUCCAAGUGCCUUGAUGAAAAAAUUCAAUUCGUAUCUUCCAAAAGUUUCUAGAAUACUUUAUGCGAAUUAGGAGCUAUUCAGAGCCGUGCGAAGGAGCGUAAUCUCGACAGAUAUUAAGUAGACGUAUGUUGACAAGGUUCACUCGGUCCGCUCGUAGGGGAUAGAGUACCCGGUGUCGACGAUGAUGUACUCGUCGGUGUCGCAGCACGAGAUGUGUCGGUUGUGACAUCAGGCGCGCGCGGGGACGUUCCGCGCGCCGCGGGCUCGCUGCUCCUGAUGCAGGGAUCGCCGCGCGUCGCGCUCCCGACGCAGCGGCGACCGGCAGCCGUGCCCGGACCCUUACCGCAUGAGGACUAUAGAGCACACCUCCUUCGACGAGCCCAUCCAGUGCGUGGAACGCCACCUGUGCGCCGACGUGCCCUACUGCCACGACUCAGAGUCAGUCAGUGAAGUGAGCCUCGACAGCGACAGUAGGAACCCCUCGAUCAAACGUAACGUUAGCAAGAAGAAAGUGACCUACCAAACCAAAGCCGACGUGAUCUCAAACUAGUUAGGUUAGUGGUGUAAAUAAGUGUAGAUUGUUAUGUGUCAAGUGGCUGCUUGUUGGAGAUUGCCUCGAUUGCCAGAUUUGCAUUCUAUAUCGAUUUUGGCAUCUGUUGAAAAUCUAUGCUGCGUUUUUGUGUUGCGGUACGCUAAGCGUCGACC